rnacentral:lncRNA from 1 species
CCUCCCCAGCCACGUAGAACUGCUUCCUAGUGGCUGUGAAAAUCAGGCUUCAUCCUGGAGCAUCCAAAACUCAGGACCACCGUUUCCCGGGGACUCACGCUCAACCCCCCACACUGGGCCUGUGUACACCCCCAUCCACAGCCUCAGGAAGAAGGACCUUAAAGGUGGUCACAGAAGAAUUUACAAGCUGCUCUUAGGACUGGCUUUGUCUCAGUUGCACAUGAGCCAGAGCCACUUCUCCCAAUCAAAGGUGAUUUCUCCUUUGCUCCCACUUCUCCAGCCACAAGCCAACUGUCUAUGAGACUGUCAGACAUCAGCCCCCUCUCCCUUACCCUGUGGGACUCUCCCAUGGAAAGUGCCUCCAUCGACCCCAGGGUCUCACCCCAACUCCCCAGCUAAUUUCCUGCUUUAGGGCUUGGGCAGGACACUUCUAUCUAGGGCCCUAGACACCCCCUGUCCUCUGAGAACCCCGCCAGGCCUAGCCAGAGACCUACCACUUGCCCUCAAAACCAUUUCCUCCUCAUCCCGAGGUACACUUUUAGGCUUCCAAGGAAAAACCAGAACAUGGUAGAUGGAUCUUCGCAACUGCUCCAAGGUCUUCCCCUCCAAAACCACAAAGCAGGCAGGUGAGUAUCCUGGAAUGAGUCCCCAGUGGCCUCCUGGGGGCUUGGAGAGGGGCCUCCAAUUUCCUGGGCAUUAUAUGUGUCAGGGGGUGGUAAUCCCAGCCAGAAGCCUGGCAUUCAGCCCCCAAGUCCUGACAUCUUGUUCUAAUCUACCCUGCCCGCUCAUUACUGGGGCAAUACAAGUCUCCAUCCUUUCCCAUCUGGUCAACACCCCCUCUCCGUCUUGGCCAGAGUAGAUUCUCAGGAACCCAAAUCCGACAACGAAGCUCCCCUGCUAAAAUCUGGAGGUCAAAAGCCUGGGAGAUAAGGGUUCCCCCUUCACCUGCAGUGGCCUUGGCCAUCAGCCCAGCCCUGUCUGCGGAUCCAGCCUUAUCUAGGCCCCACCCUCCCUCACCCCACUCUCCAGCCGGCCAACCAUCUCGUUCUUUGUUACCAGAACACAUGCACUGGCAGGCUCUCCACCUUUGCACUUACCAUUCCCUCCUCCUAGAAGAGCCUUCCUCCCUUAUCCUUCCAGCAAAUUCCUGCUCAACUUUCAAGGCCCAGCUCAAAGGUCUGCUCCUGCAUGAAGCCCUGUCUCACCGCCGGUUCAGUCCAAGCAGGCUGCCAUCAUAGACCUACCAUAAACAUUUAUUUCUCAUGGUUCUGGAGGCUGGAUGCCCAAGGCCAAAGCCAAGCUGCCAGCACCCUCAGGUUCUGGUGAGGGGCCUCUUCCCUGCUUGCAGACGGCCACCUCCUUUCUGUGCAUGCCCAUGACAUUGUUCUUCUGAUAAGGCCACCAAUCCUAUCAAAUUAGGACCCUACCCAUAUGACAUCAUCUCACUUUAAUGACUUCCUAAAAGCCUUAUCUCCAAAUACAGUCACAUGGGGGUUAGGCCUUCAACAUAGGAAUUUGGGGCAGGGACACAGUUCAGUCCAUAACACCUCCGCAGACAAAUCUGAUCUCUGCCUCCUCCACAGCGCCACCUUGUUCAGGGCAGGACUUCUCUUCAUCACAGCACAUCCACCCUUGAUUCCCAUUUGUGCCUCGUGUGCAUUUGAUGAAUGAAUGAAGUCCCAUCCCCUACUCCUUCUGUCUCCUCCUUCCUCCCAGCAGCCUCUGUGUGACAACUUAUCCGUCUCUCCCACUGUCCCAGUUCCCAGAGGCAGGAGCCACCCUCUCAUGCAUCCCUGGGCUCUCGGCACCCUGCACAGGGCAGGCCCGGGUGGGUGAAUUCUGGUUCAAUUGUAGGAGGACCUGUGGCCCCUGGGGUUGGCGAACCCCGGGCCGGGAGUCCCACUCCUUGCCAUUGUCGCCCCCACACAUUCAUCAGCCCCCUAUUGGACAAAGUCUUAUUCCCAUUACUGAGGUUUCUUCCAGUCCUACG